rnacentral:rRNA from 1 species
AGUGAGGAAUAUUGGUCAAUGGUCGCAAGACUGAACCAGCCAUGCCGCGUGCAGGAAGACGGUCCUAUGGAUUGUAAACUGCUUUUAUACAGGAAGAAACCCUCCCACGUGUGGGAGCUUGACGGUACUGUAGGAAUAAGGAUCGGCUAACUCCGUGCCAGCAGCCGCGGUAAUACGGAGGAUCCAAGCGUUAUCCGGAAUCAUUGGGUUUAAAGGGUCCGUAGGCGGCCUUAUAAGUCAGUGGUGAAAGCCCAUCGCUCAACGAUGGAACUGCCAUUGAUACUGUAAGGCUUGAAUUAUUGUGAAGUAACUAGAAUAUGUAGUGUAGCGGUGAAAUGCUUAGAUAUUACAUGGAAUACCAAUUGCGAAGGCAGGUUACUAACAAUGGAUUGACGCUGAUGGACGAAAGCGUGGGGAGCGAACAGGAUUAGAUACCCUGGUAGUCCACGCCGUAAACGAUGGAUACUAGCUGUUCGGCGCAAGCUGAGUGGCUAAGCGAAAGUGAUAAGUAUCCCACCUGGGGAGUACGCACGCAAGUGUG